AGACUUUGAUUCUGGCUCAGGACGAACGCUGGCGGCGCGCCUAACACAUGCAAGUCGAGCGUGAAGCUGUUAAAGGAUCCUUCGGGAGAAUUUAAUAGUGGAAAGCGGCGGACGGGUGAGUAACGCGUGGGAAACCUGCCCUAUACAGGGGGAUAGCCUCGGGAAACCGGGAUUAAUACCCCAUAAAACCUUAACACCGCAUGGUGAAUAGGUCAAAACUUAGGUGGUAUAGGGUGGUCCCGCGUCCCAUUAGCUAGUUGGUGAGGUAACAGCUCACCAAGGCAACGAUGGGUAGCCGGCCUGAGAGGGUGAACGGCCACACUGGAACUGAGACACGGUCCAGACUCCUACGGGAGGCAGCAGUGGGGAAUAUUGCACAAUGGGGGAAACCCUGAUGCANCGACGCCGCGUGAGCGAUGAAGGCUUUCGAGUCGUAAAGCUCUGUCCUAAGGGAAGAUAAUGACGGUACCUUAGGAGGAAGCCCCGGCUAACUACGUGCCAGCAGCCGCGGUAAUACGUAGGGGGCGAGCGUUUGUCCGGAAUUACUGGGCGUAAAGAGUUUCGUAGGCGGCCCUGC
rnacentral:rRNA from 1 species